rnacentral:rRNA from 1 species
AUUGAACGCUGGCGGCAGGCUUAACACAUGCAAGUCGAGCGGGGUGAUGGUGCUUGCACUAUCACUUAGCGGCGGACGGGUGAGUAAUGCUUAGGAAUCUGCCUAUUAGUGGGGGACAACAUCUCGAAAGGGAUGCUAAUACCGCAUACGUCCUACGGGAGAAAGCAGGGGAUCACUUGUGACCUUGCACUAAUAGAUGAGCCUAAGUCGGAUUAGCUAGUUGGUGGGGUAAAGGCCUACCAAGGCGACGAUCUGUAGCGGGUCUGAGAGGAUGAUGCGCCACACUGGGACUGAGACACGGCCCAGACUCCUACGGGAGGCAGCAGUGGGGAAUAUUGGACAAUGGGGGGAACCCUGAUCCAGCCAUGCCGCGUGUGUGAAGAAGGCCUUAUGGUUGUAAAGCACUUUAAGCGAGGAGGAGGCUCUUUUGGUUAAUACCCAAGAUGAGUGGACGUUACUCGCAGAAUAAGCACCGGCUAACUCUGUGCCAGCAGCCGCCGUAA